rnacentral:rRNA from 1 species
ACACGUAGGUGGCGAGCGUUGUCCGGAAUUACUGGGUGUAAAGGGCGUGUAGGCGGGGGUGCAAGUCAGGUGUGAAAACCCGAGGCUCAACUUUGGGAUUGCAUCUGAAACUGUACUUCUUGAGUACUGGAGAGGGAAGCGGAAUUCCUAGUGUAGCGGUGAAAUGCGUAGAGAUUAGGAGGAACACCAGUGGCGAAGGCGGCUUCCUGGACAGAGACUGACGCUGAGGCGCGAAAGCGUGGGGAGCGAACAGGAUUAGAUACCCUGGUAGUCCACGCCGUAAACGAUGGAUACUAGGUGUAGGAGGUAUCGACUCCUUCUGUGCCGGAGUUAACACAAUAAGUAUCCCACCUGGGGAGUACGGCCGCAAGGUUGAA